UACAGAGGUCUCAAGCGUUGUUCGGAUUCAUUGGGCGUAAAGGGCGCGUAGGCUGCGGGGCAAGUCGGGUGUGAAAUCUCAGAGCUCAACUCUGAAACUGCACUCGAUACUGCUUUGCUUGAGGACUGGAGAGGAGAUUGGAAUUCACGGUGUAGCAGUGAAAUGCGUAGAGAUCCGGAGGAACCCCAGAGGCGAAGGCGACGCCCUGGCUCGUACCUGAAGCUCAGCCACGAAAGCAUGGGGAGCAAACAGG
rnacentral:rRNA from 1 species